UCUCCGUUGGUGAACCAGCGGAGGGAUCAUUACUGGAAUCGCAAGAUCCCACAACCCUGUGAACCUACCGAAACGUUGCCUCGGCGGGUGCCCGGCCUCUGCGCCGGGCGCUGCGCCCGCCAGCGGCCCCCUACUCUGUCUCUGCAGCGUGGCAUCUCAGAGUCCCAGAAAACAAGUCAAAACUUUCAACAACGGAUCUCUUGGCUCUA
rnacentral:misc_RNA from 1 species